AGAGUUUGAUCCUGGCUCAGGAUGAACGCUGGCGGCGUGCUUAACACAUGCAAGUCGAACGAUGAAGCCUGGUGCUUGCACCGGGUGGAUUAGUGGCGAACGGGUGAGUAUCACGUGAGUAACCUGCCCUUGACUCUGGGAUAAGCCUGGGAAACUGGGUCUAAUACCGGAUACGACCAGUCACCGCAUGGUGUGCUGGUGGAAAGCUUUAGCGGUUUUGGAUGGACUCGCGGCCUAUCAGCUAGACGGUGAGGUAAUGGCUCACUGUGGCGAUGACGGGUAGCCGGCCUGAGAGGGUGACCGGCCACACUGGGACUGAGACACGGCCCAGACUCCUACGGGAGGCAGCAGUGGGGAAUAUUGCACAAUGGGCGAAAGCCUGAUGCAGCGACGCCGCGUGUGGGAUGACGGCCUUCGGGUUGUAAACCACUUUCAGCAGGGAAGAAGCUUUUUGUGACGGUACCUGCAGAAGAAGCGCCGGCUAACUACGUGCCAGCAGCCGCGGUAAUACGUAGGGCGCGAGCGUUAUCCGGAAUUAUUGGGCGUAAAGAGCUCGUAGGCGGUUUGUCGCGUCUGCUGUGAAAGCCCGGGGCUUAACCCCGGGUGUGCAGUGGGUACGGGCAGACUAGAGUGCAGUAGGGGAGACUGGAAUUCCUGGUGUAGCGGUGAAAUGCGCAGAUGUCAGGAGGAACACCGAUGGCGAAGGCAGGUCUCUGGGCUGUUACUGACGCUGAGGAGCGAAAGCAUGGGGAGCGAACAGGAUUAGAUACCCUGGUAGUCAAGGGCGAAUUCGUUUAA
rnacentral:rRNA from 1 species